rnacentral:snoRNA from 1 species
ACUGUUCAAUGAUGAGACCAUGGAAUGAGCGCUGGGCACAGCGCCCGACACCCGUG